UACAGAGAUGUUGUUGCAGCUCCAUUCUGCAUUUUCUAUUCCUACUGUCAGAUGGGACUGCAAUUUCCUGGCCAUUUGAGCACCAGACAAGAUCUACGCUUAUCAAAAUUGCCAAGCCAGCAAAGUCUAUGAUUAGAAGUAGGUAAAUUUUUUUAGGACUCCCUCUCCAUUUCUUGGAGCACUGUGCGUCUUCUCCCUUUUUCUUGUAAAAUCUCCUCUUUGCUCUUCAGUACCAUAGGUCAAAAUGUGCUUUUAAAGGUCUUUGUCAUUUCACAUGGUCUAAGCUUAAUUAAAGCAGUGAUUUUCAAACAUU
rnacentral:lncRNA from 1 species